UUGGCAUGUGCAAGACGUCAAUUUAAAUUGUAUUUAUUUACCAAGGUAUAUGAUGUCACACUCGUCCGUGUGUGAAGACGUUGCGCAGUUCAAAUCCGUGAAUGAAUGUUCUGAAGUGAAGUAAACUUCAACAGAUUUCCCCUGCUCAGGGAGUAGGGAGCAAUGAACACUGUGUAGGGACCAUGUCAAUGGGAACACAGUUCAUGCACGGAGCUCACUUCUAACGAGCUGAUUAUCUGAAUCAGGUGUGUUAACAAAGAGAGACAUACAAAAUGUACAGAGCAGGGGGUCGCAAGGACGGGAAUUGAGAGCCGCUGCUCUAAGGGAAAACAUAGUACUUUGUGAAUGUCGAGAUAGCAGAGGGAAUCUGCCCAAUUCUGCCCUGCAGCUGAGACUUGGGACAUCUUUAUGAAUUCCUAAGAUGUUUUUGCAGAACUCAAGUAUUAAACUGUCCAGAAGCUCUUCUGAGAUUGUCAGACCCAAAUAAUUAUAACAGGUGACGUGAUUAAGAAUUGUUCCCCCAAUUGUAAACUAUUUUUUGUUAGCAAUGCAAGGCUUUUUUUUCUGAAAGAUCGUGAUUUUAGACUUUUCCAUGUUUAUUGUUAAGGC
ensembl:lncRNA